rnacentral:rRNA from 1 species
GAUGAACACUAGCUACAGGCUUAACACAUGCAAGUCGAGGGGAAACGACAUUGAAGCUUGCUUCGAUGGGCGUCGACCGGCGCACGGGUGAGUAACGCGUAUCCAACCUGCCUCUGACUAAGGGAUAACCCGGCGAAAGUCGGACUAAUACCUUAUGAGGUUUUCUGCAGACAUCUAAUGAAAACGAAAGAUUUAUCGGUCAGUGAUGGGGAUGCGUCUGAUUAGCUUGUUGGCGGGGUAACGGCCCACCAAGGCAACGAUCAGUAGGGGUUCUGAGAGGAAGGUCCCCCACAUUGGAACUGAGACACGGUCCAAACUCCUACGGGAGGCAGCAGUGAGGAAUAUUGGUCAAUGGGCGAGAGCCUGAACCAGCCAAGUAGCGUGCAGGAUGACGGCCCUAUGGGUUGUAAACUGCUUGUAUGAGGGGAUAAAGUGAGCUACGUGUAGUUUAUUGCUGGUACCACAUGAAUAAGGACCGGCUAAUUCCCUGCCAGCCCCCGCGGUAAUACGGAAGGUCCAGGCGAUAUCCGGAUUUAUUGGGUUAGGGAGCGUAGGCCGUGGAUUAAGCGUGUUGUGAAAUGUAGACGCUCAACGUCUGAAUUGCAGCGCGAACUGGUUCACUUGAGUAUGCACAACGUAGGCGGAAUUCGUCGUGUAGCGGUGAAAUGCUUAGAUAUGACGAAGAACUCCGAUUGCGAAGGCAGCUUACGGGAGCACAACUGACGCUGAAGCUCGAAGGUGCGGGUAUCAAACAGGAUUAGAUACCCUGGUAGUCCGCACAGUAAACGAUGGAUGCCCGUUGUUAGUUCACCUAAGAAUUAGCGACCAAGCGAAAGCAUUAAGCAUCCCACCUGGGGAGUACGCCGGCAACGGUGAAACUCAAAGGAAUUGACGGGGGCCCGCACAAGCGGAGGAACAUGUGGUUUAAUUCGAUGAUACGCGAGGAACCUUACCCGGGCUUGAAUUGCAGACGAACGAUUCAGAGAUGAUGAGGCCCUUCGGGGCGUCUGUGAAGGUGCUGCAUGGUUGUCGUCAGCUCGUGCCGUGAGGUGUCGGCUUAAGUGCCAUAACGAGCGCAACCCCUUUUUUCAGUUGCCAUCAGGUGAUGCUGGGCACUCUGGAGAUACUGCCACCGUAAGGUGUGAGGAAGGUGGGGAUGACGUCAAAUCAGCACGGCCCUUACGUCCGGGGCUACACACGUGUUACAAUGGCCGGUACAGAGAGUUGGUUGUGUGCAAAUACGAUCUAAUCCUUAAAGCCGGUCCCAGUUCGGACUGGGGUCUGCAGCCCGACCCCACGAAGCUGGAUUCGCUAGUAAUCGCGCGUCAGCCAUGGCGCGGUGAAUACGUUCCCGGGCCU